rnacentral:rRNA from 1 species
UACGGGGGGGGCAAGCGUUGUUCGGAAUUACUGGGCGUAAAGGGCGCGUAGGCGGAUACUUAAGUCGGGGGUGAAAGCCCGGGGCUCAACCUCGGAAUUGCCUUCGAUACUGGGUAUCUUGAGUUCGGGAGAGGUGAGUGGAAUGCCGAGUGUAGAGGUGAAAUUCGUAGAUAUUCGCAAGAACACCAGUGGCGAAGGCGGCUCACUGGCCCGGUACUGACGCUGAGGUGCGAAAGCGUGGGGAGCAAACAGG